rnacentral:tmRNA from 1 species
GAUCUUGAAAUAUUAACUUUUUAUCCCUAUAUUAAAAACGCUGGCUUCGGCCAGUUAUGACGCUAAACGUGGUUACGGAAUAGGCGUCGUGGACCCGGGGGCAGUGCCCGGCAGGUCCACCAGCUUUCGUAAGGCGACUUGCGAAAUCCGGCGGGCCUGAAACAGGAUCGACACGCGUGAUAAAGGUAAUUUGCGGCGUUCGGAAUGAUACCGCCGGGGUUUAUCCCGAAGGGUCAGGCAAUCAUAAAUGCCAACGAUAACUUCGUCGUAGCGAAUGAUAACAACCAAGCGGUUGCUAUCGCUGCCUAAUUUAUUAGGUAGUUAGUAGUUACAAAUCAAUCCCUAUGGCCUAGACAGCUAUAGGUGGGGUUCGGACGGUUCCUCGCAACAGAAUACCGUCCAUU